CAACCGCACAGAACUCACAGGGCCUCAGGGAUCCUUGCAAAGCCAGCAGGAGCCAGUGACGGCUGCGAGGCGGCAAUUACGGUGAUGAGCCUUAAUGGAGCCAGCAGUGGUCCAGAUGGCGUGACCCUGCGUGUCCAGCCAACCAGCAAGCCCACACGCGUGUCCAGCCAACCAGCAAGCCCACACGUGUGUCCAGCCAACCAGCAAGCCCACACGGCCCACAGGCUCAGGCCUUGUGAAACGCCUAGACGCCUCUCAAGCACUCUGCUCACCAAGCUACCUGCAGUUUAUGGGUGGGGGACACAGGACAGCCCAUGCAAUUUAUCGCUUAAAGUUCAAACAUAAUUAGAAACCAGUGGCGAUAAACGUGAAUAUUUGCAGCAACCAGCAAAACCGUGUUAUCACAAAUAUGAAAAUGAUUUCUUCUGUGUUACUUGGUCGCUCAACCAGGAAAGAGGAACUCUUUCUACUCUUUAUCAUCUGCUAUUUACUCAGUGCAAGAGGCAGUGCCCAGCGCCUGGAAAGUCCCGUGAACAAACUGGAAAUUCUGGCUCCUGAGGGGAUCUGUUCACAGAAUUUUAUUUUCACUGGUUGUCGAGAGAAUGGUUAAGAUUGCCUAGUUUGGGGUUUCCAUUUUUUUGAGUUUUGUACAGUUUUUUGGUAUUUAAAAGAACUGCAAAUUUGUGUUAGAGCAGUAGGAUUAAGAUAAUCUUUUUCUUUUUUUCUUGUUCCCUUUAUUUUAAAAAACAAAAUAUGCUAAGGGAAAACUGAAUACAAGAAUAAAAUAUCCAUAAAACAA
ensembl:lncRNA